GUGCCGAUGAGGAUAUAAUAGGUCUCCAAAAUAAAAUUUCCAUUCUUUUAACUUUAUUAGCUGAGGAUUUUUUUUUUGCAGUUGAUUUUCAUGGGUGGUAGAUUG